rnacentral:rRNA from 1 species
UACGAAGGGGGCUAGCGUUGCUCGGAAUCACUGGGCGUAAAGCGCACGUAGGCGGCUUCUCAAGUCAGGGGUGAAAUCCUGGAGCUCAACUCCAGAACUGCCUUUGAUACUGAGGGGCUCGAGUCCGGGAGAGGUGAGUGGAACUGCGAGUGUAGAGGUGAAAUUCGUAGAUAUUCGCAAGAACACCAGUGGCGAAGGCGGCUCACUGGCCCGGUACUGACGCUGAGGCGCGAAAGCGUGGGGAGCAAACAGG